UACGGGGGGAGCAAGCGUUGUUCGGAUUUACUGGGCGUAAAGGGCGCGUAGGCGGUCAGCACAAGUCAGUUGUGAAAUCUCCGGGCUUAACUCGGAAAGGUCAACUGAUACUGUGCGACUAGAGUGCGGAAGGGGCAACUGGAAUUCUCGGUGUAGCGGUGAAAUGCGUAGAGAUCAGGAAGAACACCGGUGGCGAAAGCGCUCUGCUAGGCCGCAACUGACACUGAGGGACGAAAGCUAGGGGAGCGAAUGGG
rnacentral:rRNA from 1 species